rnacentral:lncRNA from 1 species
CCGAGGUCGGCCCGGGGACCCACGGGGAAGGAAGGGGGAAGGGAGCGAGACCGGAGAGGCUGUGGCGCGUGGCCUGAGGCAGAGAGCAAGGCUGCGGGGGUCUGGGCCAGACCAGGCGCCGGCCUGACCCGCCUCGCCGGCAAAUGCAGGCCGGGCUUCCUCCUCCCCGGGCGGGCGGGGGAGGGGAGGGGGCUCAAAGCCGGGGGGAAGGAGGGAAAGGUGGUCCUGAUUCUCUUGUUGCCAGAGCCCACAAAGCUGAUCCCCGCCGCCUAUGGAGACGCAUCAGAGCCCUCCUGUAGACCUGCCGAACCCCUCUCUCCAGGCACCCGGGCUCCGGCCAGGUCUAGAGAGUGUCGCGUCCUCCCGGAGAGCGGCCGGCGGAGCUCCGUUGGAGGAAAGAGGAGACGACCUAGGAGAACACUGCCGCUGCGGUUGCUGUAGGGUCCCUGGCUCCCGUAGUGCACGAGGCCUUCCUCACUAGGGUAAGGGGCUGGCGAACGGCCUGGAUGCCUGUAACCCAGCAUCCUGGAGCCAAGCAGGCGACAGAGCAUCCACCACCCUCAGAAGAGCCUGGUCCUGGUGCGGUGCGUGAGUCGGCGGGAGCCAGGUUGUCCUAUGUGAAACCCCAGGCCUCAAGGCGGCUGCUUUAGGCGUCAAGUUGAGCGGGGUAUGUGUGCCCUCUUGGGGAAAGGGUAAGAAAUGGAGUCUGACUAUCUCUUCUGGGUUGGGGUAAACUGGGACACCCCCCACCAACACAUGUCCAUAUGCAAGUUCCUCCCACCCGCCCUCUUAGGGGCGCAGAGACCCUGUCUGUGUGGAAGUGGAGAAACCCGAUCUCCUACAGAAGCCGAAGGCCCAGGCGCAAGCAAGUGGAGCGGGUUCCGAGACCUCAGCUCUGGGGUUGCGGACCCCAAAAACGGAAAUCCACGCAACCACCCGAGCCUGGCUAUUGGCGAGUCCGGGCGAGCUCCGCGGGGCCGAGAUGCGGGAAGAAACAGCCCAGGGGCGGGAGCGCUGCCCGCCGAGGGUAAUCAGCAGAGCCAAGCCUCGGGGUCGAAGUCCUAAAGUUACUAAUCCCGCGCUGAGGUAGUGAGCGUGCCUCAGACCGCCCGGGGCGGUCAUUUGAGCGUGUUUACUUAAGGACUUUGCAAGCCUAGCGCGCGCGAAAUAGUCGGAUUUCCAGCGAGGCAGCAAAUAUUUGCAGGCGGGAGAAAGAAGCGGAGCCGGGCCGCGCCGCCGCGUCCCUCCCUCUGGAGCCGCGGCGCCGGCUUGGGCGGACCCGACCGCGCUGUUAAAGACAGAAAAGAAGCCGGGAACCUGCUAGGCUGCGGGGUGGGGGGUGGGGGCGUGGGGGGCGGGGACGGCGCAGAGCGGUACCAAACACCAGAAACUGGAGCGCAGUCCCGGCCCUGGCGAGCCGGAGAGCUGGGGGAGAAGUCCCUGCCCAUUCCAGCUCGAUCAAUCUUCCUGGCUACGAUCAGUCAAUAAAAAUGGUGUGAAGCGGCCGUGGUCGCUGAGAGUCUGGAGAGGAAGUGGAGGCCAGAGGUGUUGAGGCCGGCGCCGGCGCCCCUCACCAGCCGGGUUCGCGGCCCCGCAGUCUGCAAACCUCAGGCCCGGGCCCUGUGCUUUGCCAGGAACUGCGGGCGGCCUGGCGGGGCCUUUAAUUGGGUGUCUCAGUUUUAACAGUGUCCAUUGUUGGAACAAUUAGCAAGAAGCAAUAAGCACCAAGAGACAUUUGAUUCCCAGUGCGGGCUGCCGCCAAAACCAGGGUGCUCGGGAAGAUUGGCCAGGCUGCCUAGGAUGGAAGGUCUGGUUGGGGAGGUGCAGGUUCCUUUUCCCUGCCUGUUUUAUCUCAGCCUUGGAAGCUGUAAAGAGGAGACUGGGGCAAGAGUAACCUGAGCCAGGCCACGAGGGAAGCCGGUCCCCAGCCUCGCUAGCUCUUGCCAGGAGCCCUUGAGACCGCAGUGCCUUCUGGCAGCGCGCGUCCCCGCUGCAGCCGCCGCGCGCGGAUCCCCAAUGCCUGUUAGAGAAGAGCCAGGAAGACUGAGACGUGGAAGCCGAUUUCCUUUUCCCUUUGCCUUGGGUUCCCUCCUCGGUCACCCGAACCAUAGACGAAUUUCCUUCCCUAUGGGAGGAGGAGGAGCAAAGGAGAGACCCCUGCUCCUGGCGAGGUACACACCUCCCUCCUCACCGGAGCGGGUCUCAACUGCCCCCUCCUCCGACUCGGCCCCCGGAUUAGGUUACCUUGGCCGGGCGAGGAUUUUUACUGGAUACGAGAAUAGCACAGGUAAAGCUGUAUAAACAGCUCUCCGGCUGCCGGGCUGGAGGGUUACGCCGGGGACACUGCCCAAGGCGCCACUGCGGGGCCAGGCUGUGCUGGCGAAACCACUGGAGAGCCCGCUCCGGCGCGGUGCCCGACGAUCGCACAGGUUAAAUAUAUAUUAUUUGUCAUUGCAGUUCCCACCCAGACUCCCUUUCUCUUUCCCGCAUAAGCUGAAAUGCAGAGUGGGAAACAAAAUCAAAACGUGACGAGAAAGCAACGGACAGUGGACAAAACUAGUUGAGGAUUCCGGCUCAGCAAUGUUGAUCCUUUUCGAAUAAACUCCAGGACUUAGAAUGUAGAAAAGGACCCAAAACACUCGGCAACGGGAAAACGUUGGCGAUAGAAGCGUCCAAGAGGGAAACCCAUAGGAAUAGGGCAAAAGAUUUCUGCACGCGCAGCUCUUUCUGGCUCCCACGCCCACCGGCCCAGGGCCUGGUGUCUACAUUCCCUGUGAAAUGAGCCAUCAAUUUCGGGGGGUGUGUGGUUCGAUUUACUGUUUUUUGGUUUUGUUUUUUAAUUCAUCUGUCACCAUUUAAAGCUAGGAAGGAAACCCGCCCAGGCCAGGAGGAGUAGCGAGCGAGCUGUGGAGA